AGGCGCGUAGCUCAGCUGGUUAGAGCAUCACCUUGACAUGGUGGGGGUCGUUGGUUCGAAUCCAAUCGCGCCUACCA
rnacentral:tRNA from 2 species